rnacentral:piRNA from 1 species
UGAGCAGCUCGUAGCCAGACUGGCAGCCCCC